CUCUCUCUCCCCUCUGAACCAUGACCUCAUCCUUAGUUCAUUUUAGUGCUAUAGUUCACCUUCUGUUCUCCCGGGACGUUAAUGCCUAGUAAAUGGAGACUGCCUAUCUACAAUUGCGGUCACACUGCAUGCCCCAUAUGCGAAACAAUUUAUUAUUGUGCUUUAAUGUGUUUCGCUCUGUUCUAUUCUAGCGCUGUCAACUUUGCACUGGGACAGUAAAGGCUCAGCUGUCGCACAUUAUUCCAUUGCCCUCGACCCAUGACAAGUAAACAGUGACCAAAGUUAAAGCGCUUUGAAGAGGGCUGACAUGGCACACUGUUCCUUUACACAUGGAGGUUAGCUGAUCACAAAUCACCAAACCGAGGAGACAGAGACUCAGGAGAGGCGAAGGUCAAGAGCCACGCGUCCUCCGAAACACGACCUAACCCAGCCGCACUGCUUCUUGACCAAAUGCCCACUUAACCAGCCACAGUGUCCUCCACAGUGUUGGAGGAAACACCGUACACCUGGCGAUCACGUCAGAAUGCAUGCACCCGACCUGCCACAGGAGUCGCCAGAGUGCGAUGGGACAAGGACAUCCCUGCCAGCCAAACCCUCUCCUAACUCCAACUCCUUGCCUUUCCGAGUGAAUUGUUGCAUUACCUCCAAUUACUGUAGUUGUUAGUGACAGAGAAACAUUGUUUAAUUCGUUCCUGCUGUAGGAGAAUGUUAUCAUUACAAUUAUACUCUUUAAUUGUAAACUGACAGUGUUAUUGUAACACCUCAAACAACACUAUAAAUGUUACACUGACAAAUUAACACUAGGUAACACUGGCCAAAAUGCUGUGUGUGUUCCACAGUUUCCCAUCCUAUAUGAGGUCUGUAGAUGACGUUAUUGGGAAGUUAAUGAUUAACUUGGAUGAUGUUACCUCAUCGUUGGGUGUACUCCAGUUGAUCCCUUUGUGUUUGCUUUCCCUCCACAAGCUUAUGUGUAAUUAUUGACCUGAAGGAGACAGCCAGCACAGCCAACGUUGUUUAUUUGACAUGUAUUGCAAAGCAUUCUUUCUGAAAAAUUUGAGUUAAAAUAAUUUACUCUG